GCGUGCUUAACACAUGCAAGUCGAGCGGUAAGGCCCUUCGGGGUACACGAGCGGCGAACGGGUGAGUAACACGUGAGCAACCUGCCCCUGACUCCGGGAUAAGCGGUGGAAACGCCGUCUAAUACCGGAUAUGACACACCAUCUCCUGGUGGUGUGUGGAAAGUUGUAUCGGUCAGGGAUGGGCUCGCGGCCUAUCAGCUAGUUGGUGGGGUAAAGGCCUACCAAGGCGAUUACGGGUAGCCGGCCUGAGAGGGCGACCGGCCACACUGGGACUGAGACACGGCCCAGACUCCUGCGGGAGGCAGCAGUGGGGAAUAUUGCACAAUGGGCGAAAGCCUGAUGCAGCGACGCCGCGUGGGGGAUGACGGCCUUCGGGUUGUAAACCUCUUUUACCACCAACGCAGGCCCCGGGUUCUCUCGGGGUUGACGGUAGGUGGGGAAUAAGGACCGGCUAACUACGUGCCAGCAGCCGCGGUAAUACGUAGGGUCCGAGCGUUGUCCGGAAUUAUUGGGCGUAAAGAGCUCGUAGGCGGCGUGUCGCGUCUGCUGUGAAAGACCGGGGCUUAACCCCGGUUCUGCAGUGGAUACGGGCAUGCUAGA
rnacentral:rRNA from 1 species